rnacentral:rRNA from 1 species
AUUGAACGCUGGCGGCAGGCCUAACACAUGCAAGUCGAACGAGUGGCGGACGGGUGAGUAAUGUCUGGGAAACUGCCUGAUGGAUGGGGAUAACUACUGGAAACGGUAGCUAAUACCGCCUACCAUCGGAUGUGCCCAGAUGGGAUUAGCUUGUUGGUGGGGUAACGGCUCACCAAGGCGACGAUCCCUAGCUGGUCUGAGAGGAUGACCAGACACACUGGAACUGAGACACGGGCCAGACUCCGACGGGAGGCAGCAGUGGGGAAUAUUGGACAAUGGGCGCAAGCCUGAUGCAGCCAUGCCGCGUGUGUGAAGAAGGUCUUCGGGUUGUAAAGUACUUUCAGCUGGGAGGCGUUACCAGCAGAAGAAGCACCGGCGAACUCCGUGCCAGCAGCCGCGGUAAUAC